rnacentral:rRNA from 1 species
GUGCCAGCAGCCGCGGUAAUACGUAGGUGGCAAGCGUUGUCCGGAUUUAUUGGGCGUAAAGCGAGCGCAGGCGGUUUCUUAAGUCUGAUGUGAAAGCCUUCGGCUCAACCGAAGAAGUGCAUCGGAAACUGGGAAACUUGAGUGCAGAAGAGGACAGUGGAACUCCAUGUGUAGCGGUGAAAUGCGUAGAUAUAUGGAAGAACACCAGUGGCGAAGGCGGCUGUCUGGUCUGUAACUGACGCUGAGGCUCGAAAGCAUGGGUAGCAAACAGGAUUAGAUACCCUGGUAGUCCAUGUCGUAAACGAUGAGUGCUAGGUGUUGGAGGGUUUCCGCCCUUCAGUGCCGCAGCUAACGCAUUAAGCACUCCGCCUGGGGAGUACGACCGCAAGGUUGAAACUCAAAGGAAUUGACGGGGGCCCGCACAAGCGGUGGAGCAUGUGGUUUAAUUCGAAGCAACGCGAAGAACCUUACCAGGUCUUGACAUCCUUUGACCACUCUAGAGAUAGAGCUUUCCCUUCGGGGACAAAGUGACAGGUGGUGCAUGGUUGUCGUCAGCUCGUGUCGUGAGAUGUUGGGUUAAGUCCCGCAACGAGCGCAACCCUUAUUACUAGUUGCCAGCAUUUAGUUGGGCACUCUAGUGAGACUGCCGGUGACAAACCGGAGGAAGGUGGGGACGACGUCAAAUCAUCAUGCCCCUUAUGACCUGGGCUACACACGUGCUACAAUGGAUGGUACAACGAGUUGCGAGACCGCGAGGUUUAGCUAAUCUCUUAAAACCAUUCUCAGUUCGGAUUGUAGGCUGCAACUCGCCUACAUGAAGCCGGAAUCGCUAGUAAUCGCGGAUCAGCAUGCCGCGGUGAAUCCGUUCCCGGGCCUUGUACACACCGCCCGU